GGGGGAUAACUAGCCGAAAGGUUAGCUAAUACCGCAUACGUCUAGGAUGGCAUCAUCCAAAGAUAAAAGCCGCAAGGCACUCGAGGAGGGGACCGCGUCCCAUUAGUUAGUUGGUGGGGUAACGGCCUACCAAGACUCCGAUGGGUAGCUGGUUUGAGAGAGCGACCAGCCACACUGGGACUGAGAAACGGCCCAGACUCCUACGGGAGGCAGCAGUGAGGAAUUUUCCGCAAUGGGCGAAAGCCUGACGGAGCGACGCCGGUGUGGGAACGAAGGCUUCGGGUCGUAAACCACUGUCGAAGGGGACGAUAUUGACGGUACCCUUGGAGGAAGCCCCGGCUAACUACGUGCCAGCAGCCGCGGUAAGACGUAGGGGGCAAGCGUUAUUCGGAAUUAUUGGGCGUAAAGCGUUCGUAGGCUGGACAGGAAGUCCGUGAAGAAACGACCUGGGCUCAAUCAGGGAACGGACGGACUACUCUCUGUUCUCUGAGACACUUCAGAAGG
rnacentral:rRNA from 1 species